CCUACGGGAGGCAGCAGUGGGGGAUAUUGCACAAUGGGGGGAACCCUGAUGCAGCGACGCCGCGUGUGGGAAGACGGUCCUCUGGAUUGUAAACCACUGUCCCCAGGGACGAAAAUGACGGUACCUGGGGAGGAAGCUCCGGCUAACGACGUGCCAGCAGCCGCGGUAAUACGUAGGGAGCGAGCGUUGCCGGGAAUUACUGGGUGAAAAGGGAGCGUAGGCGGGGAUGCAAGUUGGGUGUCAAAACUACCGGCUCAACUGGUAGUCGCACACGAGACUGCAGCUCUUGAGUGAAGUAGAGGCAAGCGGAAUUCCUAGUGUAGCGGUGAAAUGCGUAGAUAUUAGGAGGAACACUAGUGGCGAAGGCGGCCUGCUGGGCUUUUACUGACGCUGAGGCUCGAAGGUGAGGGGAGCAAACAGGAUUAGAUACCCCUGUAGUC
rnacentral:rRNA from 1 species